rnacentral:rRNA from 1 species
UAAGUCACUUUGUCUUUAUGGCAAAUGUGAGAUGCAGUGUAUGGAAUGUCAAAUUUCUAGUAUGAGAAAUUAACGAUUUAAGUCCUUCUUAAAUGAGGCCAUUUACCCAUAGAGGGUGCCAGGCCCGUAUAACGUUAAUGAUUACUAGAUGGCAUUUCCAAAGAGUCGUGUUGCUUGAUAGUGCAGCACUAAGUGGGUGGUAAACUCCAUCUAAAACUAAAUAUAACCAUGAGACCGAUAGUAAACAAGUACCGUGAGGGAAAGUUGAAAAGAACUCUGAAUAGAGAGUUAAAUAGUACGUGAAACUGCUUAGAGGUUAAGCCCGAUGAACCUGAAUAUCCAUUAUAGAAAAUUCAUCAUUAUGAUUGUAAUAUUAAUAAUAUUAUAAUAAUGGUGUGCAUUUUUUCUAUAACGGACAUUGUAAUCUAUUAACAUAAAUAUAUUUAUCAUAAGAUCAAUGAUGCGUAAGUUUAUUCAAAUUAUUUUGCUUGCAAUUUAACAUAGAAUAAAUGCUCUUGAUUUGAUAAAGUGUUGAUAGAUUUAUUGUAUAUAGUGCUUAAAUAUUUAUAUUUUAUAAUAGCAUAUUAAUCAUUGAUUUUUAUGUUUAUUAUAUGCACUUAUAUGAUUAACAAUGCGAAAGAUUCAGGAUACCUUCGGGACCCGUCUUGAAACACGGACCAAGGAGUCUAACAUAUUUGCAAGUUAUUGGGUAUUAAAACCUAAUAGCGAAAUUAACAUAACUUUAAUGGGAUUAGUUUUUAGGUUAUUUAUAAUCUAUUAAUUCAAUCCCGGGGCGUUCUUUAUAGUUAUGUAUAAUAAUAUUUAUAUUAUUUAUACCUCUAACUAGAGCGUACCUUGAGCAUAUAUGCUGUGACCCGAAAGAUGGUGAACUAUACUUGAUCAGGUUGAAGUCAGGGGAAACCCUGAUGGAAGACCGAAACAGUUCUGACGUGCAAAUCGA